rnacentral:rRNA from 1 species
UACGUAGGGUGCAAGCGUUGUCCGGAAUUAUUGGGCGUAAAGAGCUCGUAGGCGGUUUGUCGCGUCUGCUGUGAAAACCUAAGGCUCAACCUUGGGCUUGCAGUGGGUACGGGCAGACUAGAGUGCGGUAGGGGUGACUGGAAUUCCUGGUGUAGCGGUGGAAUGCGCAGAUAUCAGGAAGAACACCAAUGGCGAAAGCAGCUU